rnacentral:lncRNA from 1 species
ACAGUAUUAGAACCAGAUGCUCCGCAGGGCGUAGCUUUAUACGACCGCAGAGGUUGAACCCUGAACGGUUGGGGCAAGUAUGGACACAACAUUCAAGCUGGAUUCAGCUCUAAAUUUGGAUUGUGAUUAAAUAGUUGACACAGCAUAGGUUUCUGACACAGAAUGAAUGUGUUCUAAUGAACUUAAAAAUUUUUGUUUUCUCUUAGAGCAAUUCACUAUGCUGUUGAAUAUUAAUCCUCUCAAAAAAAUGUUUGAAGAAAUUUUCUUUUUUAUUUAUGAAAUUUCAAAUGAGAAAAAUUGAACCCAAUUUUUUUAAUCACAUCCCCCUUUCCCUUAUUCCAAAACUAAUCUCAAUUAAAAUUUCUAAUGGAGUUUGCAACAAUAACUACUCAUUUAAAUACAUCAUAAAAUAUUAAGAUGUAAAAAAACUGCUUGUUAUCACUGAAUGGUAAAGAUUAUUUUAAUUUAUCAGUUGGUAGUAAAAAGUGAAUAUACAUUGUAUAUUG